rnacentral:rRNA from 1 species
AAAAAAGGUAAGCUACUAAGAGCGAAUGGUGGAUGCCUUGACUGGUAAAGGCGAUGAAGGACGUACUAGACUGCGAUAAGCUACGGGGAGCUGUCAAGAAGCUUUGAUCCGUAGAUUUCCGAAUGGGGCAACCCAAUGUAUAGAGAUAUACAUUACCUAUAUAGGAGCGAACGAGGGGAAUUGAAACAUCUUAGUACCCUCAGGAAAAGAAAUCAAUAGAGAUUGCGUCAGUAGCGGCGAGCGAAAGCGCAAGAGGGCAAACCCAGUGCUUGCACUGGGGGUUGUAGGACUGCAAUGUGCAAGAGGUGAGUUUAGCAGAACAUUCUGGAAAGUAUAGCCAUAGAGGGUGAUAGUCCCGUAUGCGAAAAACAAACCUUAGCUAGCAGUAUCCUGAGUAGGGCGGGACACGAGGAAUCCUGUCUGAAUCCGGGUCGACCACGAUCCAACCCUAAAUACUAAUACCAGAUCGAUAGUGCACAAGUACCGUGAGGGAAAGGUGAAAAGAACUGAGGUGAUCAGAGUGAAAUAGAACCUGAAACCAUUUGCUUACAAUCAUUCAGAGCCCUAUGUAGCAAUACAGGGUGAUGGACUGCCUUUUGCAUAAUGAGCCUGCGAGUUGUGGUGUCUGGCAAGGUUAAGCAAACGCGAAGCCGUAGCGAAAGCGAGUCUGAAUAGGGCGCUUAGUCAGAUGCUGCAGACCCGAAACGAAGUGAUCUAUCCAUGAGCAAGUUGAAGCUAGUGUAAGAACUAGUGGAGGACUGAACCCAUAGGCGUUGAAAAGCCCCGGGAUGACUUGUGGAUAGGGGUGAAAGGCCAAUCAAACUUCGUGAUAGCUGGUUCUCUCCGAAAUAUAUUUAGGUAUAGCGUUGUGUCGUAAUAUAAGGGGGUAGAGCACUGAAUGGGCUAGGGCAUACACCAAUGUACCAAACCCUAUCAAACUCCGAAUACCUUAUAUGUAAUCACAGCAGUCAGGCGGCGAGUGAUAAAAUCCGUCGUCAAGAGGGAAACAACCCAGACUACCAGCUAAGGUCCCUAAAUCUUACUUAAGUGGAAAACGAUGUGAAGUUACUUAAACAACCAGGAGGUUGGCUUAGAAGCAGCCAUCCUUUAAAGAAAGCGUAAUAGCUCACUGGUCUAGUGAUUUUGCGCGGAAAAUAUAACGGGGCUAAAGUAAGUACCGAAGCUGUAGACUUGCGCACAACUUAGAUUAUUUAAGUUUAGAAUAUGAGAAACUAAGUUAUAUGUUUAGUUAUAUUUUUACUGAUUUUUAUAGAGUAAAGAUAGAAAUAAAACUUAGUAAAAUCAGUAAAAAUAUUCUUAGACUAAAGUUAAGUAGUUUAAGUUGUGUGCAAGUGGUAGGAGAGCGUUCUAUUUGCGUCGAAGGUAUACCGGUAAGGAGUGCUGGAGCGAAUAGAAGUGAGCAUGCAGGCAUGAGUAGCGAUAAUUAAUGUGAGAAUCAUUAACGCCGUAAACCCAAGGUUUCCUACGCGAUGCUCGUCAUCGUAGGGUUAGUCGGGUCCUAAGCCGAGUCCGAAAGGGGUAGGCGAUGGCAAAUUGGUUAAUAUUCCAAUACCAACAUUAGUGUGCGAUGGAAGGACGCUUAGGGCUAAGGGGGCUAGCGGAUGGAAGUGCUAGUCUAAGGUCGUAGGAGGUUAUACAGGCAAAUCCGUAUAACAAUACUCCGAGAACUGAAAGGCUUUUUGAAGUCUUCGGAUGGAUAGAAGAACCCCUGAUGCCGUCGAGCCAAGAAAAGUUUCUAAGUUUAGCUAAUGUUGCCCGUACCGUAAACCGACACAGGUGGGUGGGAUGAGUAUUCUAAGGCGCGUGGAAGAACUCUCUUUAAGGAACUCUGCAAAAUAGCACCGUAUCUUCGGUAUAAGGUGUGGUUCGCUUCGUACUAGGAUUUACUCCGAAAGCGAAGAAACUUACAACAAAGAGUCCCUCCCGACUGUUUACCAAAAACACAGCACUCUGCUAACUCGUAAGAGGAUGUAUAGGGUGUGACGCCUGCCCGGUGCUCGAAGGUUAAUUGAUGGGGUUAGCAUUAGCGAAGCUCUUGAUCGAAGCCCGAGUAAACGGCGGCCGUAACUAUAACGGUCCUAAGGUAGCGAAAUUCCUUGUCGGUUAAAUACCGACCUGCAUGAAUGGCGUAACGAGAUGGGAGCUGUCUCAAAGAGGGAUCCAGUGAAAUUGUAGUGGAGGUGAAAAUUC